UACGAAGGGGGCUAGCGUUACUCGGAAUUACUGGGCGUAAAGGGCGCGUAGGCGGCUCUGUAAGUCAGGCGUGAAAUUCCCCGGGCUCAACCUGGGGACUGCGCUUGAGACUGUGGGGCUAGAGGAUGGAAGAGGGUCGUGGAAUUCCCCAGUGUAGAGGUGAAAUUCGUAGAUAUUGGGAAGAACACCGGUGGCGAAGGCGGCGACCUGGUCCAUUACUGACGCUGAGGCGCGACAGCGUGGGGAGCAAACAGG
rnacentral:rRNA from 1 species